GCCAGAGCUAUAUCUCCCUGCAGUUCUCACCUGGUGGCCCACUGAAGCUAGGCAGGGUUGAGUCUGGCCAGUAUCUUGAUGGGAGACCACCUGGGGAAAAUUAAAGUUGCUGCUGGAA
rnacentral:rRNA from 1 species